GGAUGUGAGGGCAAUCUGGCUGCAGUAUCUGUCACCCCAUUGAUCACCACAGUUGAUUUGGCUGAUUUGGCUGGCUAGGCAGGUAUCCCCUUCUUUCCUCACUGCUCCAUAUGCAUCCCUCCCAAAGCUUCACACUCAUUGGAAGAUGACUGACCAUCCCUGAUAGAGGAGUACCAUUCUCUGCUCAAGAAUAUAAGAGUAGCUGUGCUCCCCUGCUAGAACUUCCAAACAAUCUCUCAGGUGUACACAGUAUUUGCACUAUAUUCACCCUCCCAUGUCCUUUCCUAAUUGGUUGGGAUAAAGGUUUUU
rnacentral:snRNA from 1 species